AGUGAGAUAGCUGGGUCAAAUGGUUCUAUUCCAAGUUUUCCAAGGAAUCUUCAUACUGCUUUCCAUAUUGAUUGUGCCAAUUUGCAGUACCUCCAGCAAU
rnacentral:pre_miRNA from 1 species